GAUGAACGCUGGCGGCGUGCCUAAUACAUGCAAGUCGAGCGAACGGACGAGAAGCUUGCUUCUCUGAUGUUAGCGGCGGACGGGUGAGUAACACGAGGAUAACCUACCUAUAAGACUGGGAUAACUUCGGGAAACCGGAGCUAAUACCGGAUAAUAUUUUGAACCGCAUGGUUCAAAAGUGAAAGACGGUCUUGCUGUCACUUAUAGAUGGAUCCGCGCUGCAUUAGCUAGUUGGUAAGGUAACGGCUUACCAAGGCAACGAUGCAUAGCCGACCUGAGAGGGUGAUCGGCCACACUGGAACUGAGACACGGUCCAGACUCCUACGGGAGGCAGCAGUAGGGAAUCUUCCGCAAAGGGCGAAAGCCUGACGGAGCAACGCCGCGUGAGUGAUGAAGGUCUUCGGAUCGCAAAACUCUGUUAUUAGGGAAGAACAUAUGUGUAAGUAACUGUGCACAUCUUGACGGUACCUAAUCAGAAAGCCACGGCUAACUACGUG
rnacentral:rRNA from 1 species